GGAAUAUUGGUCAAUGGACGCAAGUCUGAACCAGCCAUGCCGCGUGCAGGAUGACGGUCCUAUGGAUUGUAAACUGCUUUUGUACAGGAAGAAACAACUCUACGUGUAGAGUCUUGACGGUACUGUAAGAAUAAGGAUCGGCUAACUCCGUGCCAGCAGCCGCGGUAAUACGGAGGAUCCAAGCGUUAUCCGGAAUCAUUGGGUUUAAAGGGUCCGUAGGCGGUUUAGUAAGUCAGUGGUGAAAGCCCAUCGCUCAACGGUGGAACGGCCAUUGAUACUGCUAAACUUGAAUUAUUAGGAAGUAACUAGAAUAUGUAGUGUAGCGGUGAAAUGCUUAGAGAUUACAUGGAAUACCAAUUGCGAAGGCAGGUUACUACUAAUAUAUUGACGCUGAUGGACGAAAGCGUGGGUAGCGAACAGGAUUAGAUACCCGUG
rnacentral:rRNA from 1 species